CCUACGGGCGGCAGCAGUGGGGAAUAUUGCGCAAUGGGCGAAAGCCUGACGCAGCGACGCCGCGUGAAGGAAGAAGGCUUUCGGGUUGUAAACUUCUUUUGUCAGGGACGAAGCAAGUGACGGUACCUGACGAAUAAGCCACGGCUAACUACGUGCCAGCAGCCGCGGUAAUACGUAGGUGGCAAGCGUUGUCCGGAUUUACUGGGUGUAAAGGGUGCGUAGGCGGCUUGGCAAGUCAGUAGUGAAAUCCAUGGGCUUAACCCAUGAACUGCUAUUGAAACUGUCGAGCUUGAGUGAAGUAGAGGUAGGCGGAAUUCCCGGUGUAGCGGUGAAAUGCGUAGAGAUCGGGAGGAACACCAGUGGCGAAGGCGGCCUACUGGGCUUUAACUGACGCUGAGGCACGAAAGCGUGGGUAGCAAACAGGAUUAGAUACCCUUGUAGUC
rnacentral:rRNA from 1 species